AGAGUUUGAUCCUGGCUCAGGACGAACGCUGGCGGCACGCUUAACACAUGCAAGUCGAACGAGAGAAGAGGAGCUUGCUUUUCUGAUCUAGUGGCGGACGGGUGAGUAACACGUGAGCAAUCUGCCUUUCAGAGGGGGAUACCGAUUGGAAACGAUCGUUAAUACCGCAUAACAUAAUUGAACCGCAUGAUUUGAUUAUCAAAGAUUUAUCGCUGAAAGAUGAGCUCGCGUCUGAUUAGCUAGUUGGUAAGGUAACGGCUUACCAAGGCGACGAUCAGUAGCCGGACUGAGAGGUUGAUCGGCCACAUUGGGACUGAGACACGGCCCAGACUCCUACGGGAGGCAGCAGUGGGGAAUAUUGCACAAUGGAGGAAACUCUGAUGCAGCGAUGCCGCGUGAGGGAAGAAGGUUUUAGGAUUGUAAACCUCUGUCUUCAGGGACGAAAAAAGACGGUACCUGAGGAGGAAGCUCCGGCUAACUACGUGCCAGCAGCCGCGGUAAUACGUAGGGAGCGAGCGUUGUCCGGAAUUACUGGGUGUAAAGGGAGCGUAGGCGGGAUCGCAAGUCAGAUGUGAAAACUAUGGGCUUAGCCCAUAAACUGCAUUUGAAACUGUGGUUCUUGAGUGAAGUAGAGGUAAGCGGAAUUCCUAGUGUAGCGGUGAAAUGCGUAGAUAUUAGGAGGAACAUCAGUGGCGAAGGCGGCUUACUGGGCUUUAACUGACGCUGAGGCUCGAAAGCGUGGGGAGCAAACAGGAUUAGAUACCCUGGUAGUCCACGCCGUAAACGAUGAUUACUAGGUGUGGGGGGACUGACCCCUUCCGUGCCGCAGCAAACGCAAUAAGUAAUCCACCUGGGGAGUACGACCGCAAGGUUGAAACUCAAAGGAAUUGACGGGGGCCCGCACAAGCAGUGGAGUAUGUGGAUUAAUUCGAAGCAACGCGAAGAACCUUACCAGGUCUUGACAUCGUAUGCAUAGCUCAGAGAUGAGUGAAAUCUCUUCGGAGACAUAUAGACAGGUGGUGCAUGGUUGUCGUCAGCUCGUGUCGUGAGAUGUUGGGUUAAGUCCCGCAACGAGCGCAACCCUUACUGUUAGUUGCUACGCAAGAGCACUCUAGCAGGACUGCCGUUGACAAAACGGAGGAAGGUGGGGAUGACGUCAAAUCAUCAUGCCCCUUAUGACCUGGGCCUCACACGUACUACAAUGGCUGUCAACAGAGGGAAGCAAAGCCGCGAGGUGGAGCGAACCCCUAAAAGCAGUCUUAGUUCGGAUUGUAGGCUGCAACCCGCCUACAUGAAGUCGGAAUUGCUAGUAAUCGCAGAUCAGCAUGCUGCGGUGAAUACGUUCCCGGGCCUUGUACACACCGCCCGUCACGCCAUGGGAGUCGGUAACACCCGAAGCCUGUAGUCUAACCGCAAGGAGGACGCAGUCGAAGGUGGGAUUGAUGACUGGGGUGAAGUCGUAACAAGGUA
rnacentral:rRNA from 1 species